UACGAAGGGUGCAAGCGUUAAUCGGAAUUACUGGGCGUAGAGGGUGCGUAGGCGGUUCGUUAAGUCUGUUGUGAAAUCCCCGGGCUCAACCUGGGAAUGGCAAUGGAUACUGGCGAGCUAGAGUGUGAUAGAGGAUGGUGGAAUUCCCGGUGUAGCGGUGAAAUGCGUAGAGAUCGGGAGGAACAUCAGUGGCGAAGGCGGCCAUCUGGAUCAACACUGACGCUGAAGCACGAAAGCGUGGGGAG
rnacentral:rRNA from 1 species